GUGUGUUUCGACACACUAUCAUUAACUGAAUCCAUAGGUUAAUGAGGCGAACCGGGGGAACUGAAACAUCUAAGUACCCCGAGGAAAAGAAAUCAACCGAGAUUCCCCCAGUAGCGGCGAGCGAACGGGGAGGAGCCCAGAGCCUGAAUCAGUGUGUGUGUUAGUGGAAGCGUCUGGAAAGGCGCGCGAUACAGGGUGACAGCCCCGUACACAAAAAUGCACAUAUUGUGAGCUCGAUGAGUAGGGCGGGACACGUGGUAUCCUGUCUGAAUAUGGGGGGACCAUCCUCCAAGGCUAAAUACUCCUGACUGACCGAUAGUGAACCAGUACCGUGAGGGAAAGGCGAAAAGAACCCCGGCGAGGGGAGUGAAAAAGAACCUGAAACCGUGUACGUACAAGCAGUGGGAGCCUCUUUAUGGGGUGACUGCGUACCUUUUGUAUAAUGGGUCAGCGACUUAUAUUCUGUAGCAAGGUUAACCGAAUAGGGGAGCCGAAGGGAAACCGAGUCUUAACUGGGCGUUAAGUUGCAGGGUAUAGACCCGAAACCCGGUGAUCUAGCCAUGGGCAGGUUGAAGGUUGGGUAACACUAACUGGAGGACCGAACCGACUAAUGUUGAAAAAUUAGCGGAUGACUUGUGGCUGGGGGUGAAAGGCCAAUCAAACCGGGAGAUAGCUGGUUCUCCCCGAAAGCUAUUUAGGUAGCGCCUCGUGAAUUCAUCUCCGGGGGUAGAGCACUGUUUCGGCAAGGGGGUCAUCCCGACUUACCAACCCGAUGCAAACUGCGAAUACCGGAGAAUGUUAUCACGGGAGACACACGGCGGGUGCUAACGUCCGUCGUGAAGAGGGAAACAACCCAGACCGCCAGCUAAGGUCCCAAAGUCAUGGUUAAGUGGGAAACGAUGUGGGAAGGCCCAGACAGCCAGGAUGUUGGCUUAGAAGCAGCCAUCAUUUAAAGAAAGCGUAAUAGCUCACUGGUCGAGUCGGCCUGCGCGGAAGAUGUAACGGGGCUAAACCAUGCACCGAAGCUGCGGCAGCGACACUAUGUGUUGUUGGGUAGGGGAGCGUUCUGUAAGCCUGUGAAGGUGGCCUGUGAGGGUUGCUGGAGGUAUCAGAAGUGCGAAUGCUGACAUAAGUAACGAUAAAGCGGGUGAAAAGCCCGCUCGCCGGAAGACCAAGGGUUCCUGUCCAACGUUAAUCGGGGCAGGGUGAGUCGACCCCUAAGGCGAGGCCGAAAGGCGUAGUCGAUGGGAAACAGGUUAAUAUUCCUGUACUUGGUGUUACUGCGAAGGGGGGACGGAGAAGGCUAUGUUGGCCGGGCGACGGUUGUCCCGGUUUAAGCGUGUAGGCUGGUUUUCCAGGCAAAUCCGGAAAACCAAGGCUGAGGCGUGAUGACGAGGCACUACGGUGCUGAAGCGACAAAUGCCCUGCUUCCAGGAAAAGCCUCUAAGCAUCAGGUAACAUCAAAUCGUACCCCAAACCGACACAGGUGGUCAGGUAGAGAAUACCAAGGCGCUUGAGAGAACUCGGGUGAAGGAACUAGGCAAAAUGGUGCCGUAACUUCGGGAGAAGGCACGCUGAUAUGUAGGUGAAGCGACUUGCUCGUGGAGCUGAAAUCAGUCGAAGAUACCAGCUGGCUGCAACUGUUUAUUAAAAACACAGCACUGUGCAAACACGAAAGUGGACGUAUACGGUGUGACGCCUGCCCGGUGCCGGAAGGUUAAUUGAUGGGGUUAGCGGUAACGCGAAGCUCUUGAUCGAAGCCCCGGUAAACGGCGGCCGUAACUAUAACGGUCCUAAGGUAGCGAAAUUCCUUGUCGGGUAAGUUCCGACCUGCACGAAUGGCGUAAUGAUGGCCAGGCUGUCUCCACCCGAGACUCAGUGAAAUUGAACUCGCUGUGAAGAUGCAGUGUACCCGCGGCAAGACGGAAAGACCCCGUGAACCUUUACUAUAGCUUGACACUGAACAUUGAGCCUUGAUGUGUAGGAUAGGUGGGAGGCUUUGAAGUGUGGACGCCAGUCUGCAUGGAGCCGACCUUGAAAUACCACCCUUUAAUGUUUGAUGUUCUAACGUUGGCCCGUAAUCCGGGUUGCGGACAGUGUCUGGUGGGUAGUUUGACUGGGGCGGUCUCCUCCUAAAGAGUAACGGAGGAGCACGAAGGUUGGCUAAUCCUGGUCGGACAUCAGGAGGUUAGUGCAAUGGCAUAAGCCAGCUUGACUGCGAGCGUGACGGCGCGAGCAGGUGCGAAAGCAGGUCAUAGUGAUCCGGUGGUUCUGAAUGGAAGGGCCAUCGCUCAACGGAUAAAAGGUACUCCGGGGAUAACAGGCUGAUACCGCCCAAGAGUUCAUAUCGACGGCGGUGUUUGGCACCUCGAUGUCGGCUCAUCACAUCCUGGGGCUGAAGUAGGUCCCAAGGGUAUGGCUGUUCGCCAUUUAAAGUGGUACGCGAGCUGGGUUUAGAACGUCGUGAGACAGUUCGGUCCCUAUCUGCCGUGGGCGCUGGAGAACUGAGGGGGGCUGCUCCUAGUACGAGAGGACCGGAGUGGACGCAUCACUGGUGUUCGGGUUGUCAUGCCAAUGGCACUGCCCGGUAGCUAAAUGCGGAAGAGAUAAGUGCUGAAAGCAUCUAAGCACGAAACUUGCCCCGAGAUGAGUUCUCCCUGAGACUUAGAGUCUCCUGAAGGAACGUUGAAGACGACGACGUUGAUAGGCCGGGUGUGUAAGCGCAGCGAUGCGUUGAGCUAACCGGUACUAAUGAACCGUGAG
rnacentral:rRNA from 1 species